rnacentral:tRNA from 1 species
GGAGGAGUCGCCUAAUUGGUUAGGGCAAAAGUUUGCUAAACUUUAACGGUCUAAAAAGCCGUUUGUGGGUUCGAGUCCCACCUCCUCCGCCA